UAUUACGAGUUCCGAAGCAUUUUUUUUUUUCCGAUCUAUUGUUUUUUCAAUGAUCAAAUAAGAGAAAUCCGUCCUCUAAUAAAAAUUUCUACACAAAAUGAAGUACCUGACUCUCAAACCCUUUUUUGUCUUUUUUGUCUAUCCCUUUGUGUCUGUGUGCUGUGGCCGUGGAAUUGAUUCACUCUUCCUCCUGGAUCCUGGGGACCAUGCUCACCUGCCUACAAGCUCUCAAUCUGGCUCUCCAGACCAAAGCCAGCAAGUCACACACUUCUCUCAUUAAGUAAGCUCUGUUUGACGUCAGCCACUGCAAACUGCUCUCUGCCUACCCCAGCGGCAUCGCUGUUUACUCCAUCUCAAUUUGCUGCUCCUUUUUACAAUAAAUCUCUUAUUCUCUA